CCUACGUGUGGCAGCAGUGAGGAAUAUUGGUCAAUGUGCGGGAGCCUGAACCAGCCCAGUCGCGUGAGGGAAGACGGUCCUACGGAUUGUCAACCUCUUUUUCCGGGGAGCACCGGGGUCCUUGCGAGGGCCCAAUGUGAGUACCCGGAUACAACGCAUCGGCUAACUCCGUGCCAGCAGACGCGGUCAUACGUGGGCUGCGAGCGUUAUCCGUAUUUGUUGGGGUUCAAGGGUGCGUAGGCGGGAUGGUAAGUCAGCGGUCAAAUGUCGGGGCUCAAACCCGGCCGGGCGUUGAAACUGGCGGCCUCGAGUGGGCGAGAAGUAUGCGGAAUGCGUGGUGUAGCGGUGAAAUGCGUAGAUAUCAGGAGGAACACCGGUGGCGAAGGCGGCCUGCUGGACUGCAACUGACGUUGAGGCCCGAAAGCGUGGGGAGCAAACAGGAUUAGAUACCCCUGUAGUC
rnacentral:rRNA from 1 species